CUCUCUCUCUCUCUCUCUCUCUCUCUCUCUCUCUCUCUCUCUCUCUCGUUAUAACUCUCUGAUCUCUGGAGGUUUGAACUGCAGCCUCUCUCUCUCUCUCGUUAUAACUCUCUGAUCUCUGGAGGUUUGAACUGCAGCCUCUCUCUCUCUCUCGUUAUAACUCUCUGAUCUCUGGAGGUUUGAACAGCAGCCUCUCUCUCUCUCUCUCUCUCUCUCUCUCUCUCUCUCUCUCUCUCUCUCUCUCUCUCUCUCGUUAUAACUCUCUGAUCUCUGGAGGUUUGAACUGCAGCCUCUCUCUCUCUCUCGUUAUAACUCUCUGAUCUCUGGAGGUUUGAACAGCAGCCCCUCUCUCUCUCUCUCGCUCUCUCGUUAUAACUCUCUGAUCUCUGGAGGUUUGAACAGCAGCCCCUCUCCCUCUCUCUCUCUCGUUUUAACUCUCUGAUCUCUGGAGGUUUGAACAGCAGCCCCUCUCUCUCUCUCUCUCUCGUUAUAACUCUCUGAUCUCUGGAGGUUUGAACAGCAGCCUCUCUCUCUCUCUCUCUCUCGUUAUAACUCUCUGAUCUCUGGAGGUUUGAACAGCAGCCUCUCUCUCUAUCAGAACAACAUCUCUUUGUGUUCUUCUGUUACAUAAACCACUGUUAUGGUUGUUGAGAUGUAAACACUAGAAUAACAGCUUCAUUCCAAACCCAUUGUGUUUAGUCGCUGAGGGCGGCCCCAAAUGAGACCUAUUCCCUAUGUAGUGCACUACAUUUGACCCCAAAUGGGACCUAUUCCCUAUGUAGUGCACUACUUUUGACCCCAAAUGGGACCUACUCCCUAUGUAGUGCACUACUUUAGACCAGAUCCCUGUGAUGGGAGUACUCCAUCACCAUUGUCACUCCAUAAUGAACACAGCAACAUACAGACACACCGGCAUACCGGCUCCCACCCACUGAGGAUUUAGGAGUGAGUUGGUUGUCAUGGGGACAGUCACUGUGUGAUGAAAGUAAUGAUGGAUUGUAUUGGCCUCUCUUUGUGCCAGCGGGCUACUGUACUGCGAUGAGUCACUGGAUCGCUCCGUUUAGCCAGCAUGCAGCCUCACUGACUGUCAAUACACAGGUUAGACAGGGCAGGGAGAGAGGGGGGCUGGUUAGACAGGGC